GGGCGCGUCUUCCAGCGGCCAGGAUGGGGCACUGUCUAUGCCUCGACGGGGGUUCAAUUCCCCUCGCGCCCGCCA
rnacentral:tRNA from 1 species